AUUGAACGCUGGAGGCAUGCUUUACACAUGCAAGUCGAACGGUAACAGGUUAAGCUGACGAGUGGCGAACGGGUGAGUAAUGCAUCGGAACGUGCCCGCUCGUGGGGGAUAACGCAGGGAAAGCUGCGCUAAUACCGCAUACGAUCUGAGGAUGAAAGCGGGGGACCGUACGGCCUCGCGCGAUCGGAGCGGCCGAUGUCAGAGUAGGUAGUUGGUGGGGUAAAGGCUCACCAAGCCAACGAUCUGUAGCUGGUCUGAGAGGACGACCAGCCACACUGGGACUGGGACACGGCCCAGACUCCUACGGGAGGCAGCAGUGGGGAAUUUUGGACAAUGGGCGAAAGCCUGAUCCAGCAAUGCCGCGUGCAGGAAGAAGGCCUUCGGGUUGUAAACUGCCUUUGUACGGAGCGAAAAGGUCCCCUCUAAUACAGGGGGCUCAUGACGGUACCGUAAGAAUAAGCACCGGCUAACUACGUGCCAGCAGCCGCGGUAA
rnacentral:rRNA from 1 species